rnacentral:rRNA from 1 species
CUUUUAAAAAGAGUGACGGGCGAUUUGUGCAUAUUUAAUUUCUUUAUUCAAUUUAAAUUUCUUUUUAUAUUUAACUUUAAGUCCUUUUUCCUAUAUACUCUUUCAAAUUUCACCUCUUUAUUUUUUUGUAUCCCAUUUAACUCUUUCUUAUUAAUUCUGCCUUGAUUUGUAUUUCUAUUUAUUAAUUUUAUAAAAAAAUUUUUUUUAUCUUUAUUUCAUACAAUGGUAUAGAAAAUAAAAAAAAAAGUUCAAUUAAUCGUGGGUUGUCUAAUAAAGCAACAGGAUCCCCUAAUCAGAUUAAAUACCGCCAUAUUCUUUCAAAUUUUGCUUAGUUAGCUACUUAUUAAAAUUAUUAUAAAA